ACGAACGCUGGCGGCGUGCCUAACACAUGCAAGUCGAACGAGUCCCAGUCCUUCGGGACUGAGGCGAGUGGCGGACGGGUGAGUAACACGUGAGCAAUCUAUCCCUGUGCGGGGGACAACCCGGGGAACUCGGGCUAAUACCGCAUGGUCGGUCUUCACGCUGUGAGGAUCGGGAAAGGUGGCCUCUUGACAAUGCUGCCGUGCAGGGCGGAGCUCGCGGGCUAUCAGCUAGUUGGUUGCGGUGAUGGCGCACCAAGGCAACGACGGCUACGGGGUCUGAGAGGACGACCCCGCACAUGGGAACUGAGACACGGUCCAGACUCCUACGGGAGGCAGCAGUGGGGAAUUUGGGGCAAUGGCCGAAAGGCUGACCCAGCGACGCCGCGUGUGGAGGAAGCCCUUCGGGGUGUAAACCACUGUCGGGAGGGACGAACGAGGAGGCGGGAAUACUGCUUCUCUGUGACGGUACCUUUCAAAGGAACGCCGGCUAACUCUGUGCCAGCAGCCGCGGUAAGACAGAGGGCGCGAGCGUUGUUCGGAAUUACUGGGCGCAAAGCGCGCGUAGGCGGAUCGACGCGUCUGGAGUGAAAUCCCGCCGCUCAACGGCGGGGCUGCUUUGGGAAACGGUCGGGCUAUAGGGAGCGGUAGAGGCCGGUAGAAUUCCCGGUGUAGCGGUGGAAUGCGUAGAGAUCGGGAAGAAUUACCCGUGGCGAAGGCCGGCCGGCUGGGCCGUCUCCGACGCUAAUGCGCGAAAGCGUGGGGAGCAAACAGGAUUAGAUACCCUGGUAGUCCACGCCGUAAACGAUGGGCACUAGGUGCCGGGGGGAGCGACCCCCUCGGUGCCGCAGCUAACGCGAUAAGUUGCCCCGCCUGGGGAGUACGGCCGCAAGGCUGAAACUCAAAGGAAUUGACGGGGGGCCCGCACAAGCGGUGGAGCAUGUGUGGUUUAAUUCGAAGCAACGCGAAGAACCUUACCUAGGUUUGACAUGCAGGGGGAAAGCUUCUGGAAACAGGAGCACCUUCUUCGGAACCCCUGCACAGGUGCUGCAUGGCUGUCGUCAGCUCGUGUCGUGAGAUGUUGGGUUAAGUCCCGCAACGAGCGCAACCCUUGCCCCGUGUCACUAACAGGUAGAGUGAGGACUCUCGGGGGACUGCCGGCCGUCAAAGCCGGAGGGAAGGUGGGGACGACCGUCAAGUCAUCAUGGCCCUUACGCCUAGGGCUACACACGUGCUACAAUGGCCGGUACAAAGGGCUGCAAGGUCGCAAGACGGAGCGAAUCCCAGAAAGCCGGUCCAAAGUUCGGGAUUGUGGGCUGCAACUCGCCCACAUGAAGCCGGAAUCGCUAGUAAUCGUGGAUCAGCCACGCCACGGUGAAUACGUUCCCGGGCCUUGUACCAACCGCCCGUCACGCCAUGGGAGGCCGGGAGUGCCCGAAGUCCGUGUGCUAACCGCAAGGAGGGCAGCGGCCUAAGGCAAGCUCGGUGACUGGGGCG
rnacentral:rRNA from 1 species